AUUUAGAGGAAGGAGAAGUCGUAACAAGGUUUCCGUAGGUGAACCUGCGGAAGGAUCAUUGUCGAAACCUGCAAGGCAGAACGACCCGCGAACUCGUUUCUUGACACCGCGCGCGGCCGGCGCUCGCCUCGCGUGUGCCUGCCGUGCCGAAAAAACGAACCCCGGCGCGGACCGCGCCAAGGAUCACCGAAAGGAAAAACAAGAGCAGCACCCCCGGGAACCCCGGGGAGCGGCGGCUUCUUCCACUAUUCAAAACGACUCUCGACAACGGAUAUCUCGGCUCUCGCAUCGAUGAAGAACGUAGUGAAAUGCGAUACUUGGUGUGAAUUGCAGAAUCCCGUGAACCAUCGAGUCUUUGAACGCAAGUUGCGCCCGAAGCCAUUAGGCCGAGGGCACGUCUGCCUGGGCGUCUCGCAACGCGUCGCCCCCCCCACCCGCCUAGCCAAGCGCUGCGGGCUCCGGGGGGCGGAUGGUGGCCUCCCGUGCGCGGGCAACGCGAGCGGCUGGCCGAAAAACGAGUCCCCGACGACGGACGUCACGACAAGUGGUGGUUGAGAGACCCUCGGUCGCGUCGCGUCGUGCGCGCCACCGUCGUCGACGGCGGGCUCAAGUGACCCCUGCGCACCGGCACCCCGUGCCGCGUGCCUCGACCGCGACCCCAGGUCAGGCGGGACCACCCGCUGAGUUUA
rnacentral:rRNA from 1 species